rnacentral:rRNA from 1 species
GACGAACGCUGGCGGCGUGCUUAACACAUGCAAGUCGAACGGAAAGGCCCUGCUUUUGUGGGGUGCUCGAGUGGCGAACGGGUGAGUAACACGUGAGUAACCUGCCCUUGACUUUGGGAUAACUUCAGGAAACUGGGGCUAAUACCGGAUAGGAGCUCCUGCUGCAUGGUGGGGGUUGGAAAGUUUCGGCGGUUGGGGAUGGACUCGCGGCUUAUCAGCUUGUUGGUGGGGUAGUGGCUUACCAAGGCUUUGACGGGUAGCCGGCCUGAGAGGGUGACCGGCAACAUUGGGACUGAGAUACGGCCCAGACUCCUACGGGAGGCAGCAGUGGGGAAUAUUGCACAAUGGGCGGAAGCCUGAUGCAGCAACGCCGCGUGCGGGAUGACGGCCUUCGGGUUGUAAACCGCUUUCGCCUGCGACGAAGCGUGAGUGACGGUAAUGGGUAAAGAAGCACCGGCUAACUACGUG